GCUCUGGGCACCCAGGGUUUCGGGGGGGUUGCCUGGCAGAGCAGGACUCUGUGAGGUGGGGUUUGUCCUUGGUGUGGGGAUCCCCAUCUGCCCCAUCCCAAGUGAGUGUGAGACAGCAAGAGCAAUGGUUAGCUGAAAGGACAUGCUCACUCCUUCAAGGGAAAAGGGAGGGGAUAGCUGUAUGACCCAGUAACUCUGACACCCUCUUGGCACUCUGUCCCUUGGGGUUGGACUAGAUGGUCUCUAAAGGUCCCUUCCAACCUCUAACAUUCCAUGAAUCUAUGAUUCUCCCUGCCCCUGACACACUGGAGGGUAUUAACCCCCACCCCGUGACCCCAUCAUGCCCCUUCUCAUGCACAUUGCUCUGAGGAAGAGGCAUUUUGUUUCUGGAGUCAAGACAGACAUGGGGAAGAGGUUUCAUGGCAGAUGUUUGUUAGCUUUGUGAACAUAGACUUCAAGCAGAAGUGACUGAGUUGCUUGCACAGGUUUGUCUCCUCCUGCAAGUGAGGUGUUGGGCUGGAAACAUGCUGAGUAGACCUUCCAGGUUAGACCCUAUGGGUAAGUACAGCAGGGAGGGCUGGGUGCUUCCCAGGGCUGGGCAUUCUCCUGGGAUGCCCCUUUCCAGGAGCAGGGAUGAUAAGGCUUCACCCCCCUGCAGCCAGCAGCAUGGCAGGACGGGUACUGUGCCCAUGGGGUAUGGCACCUCAGCCCCUGUGCAAACACAUCCCUGCAGGAUGUCCUGGAACCACUGAAUCGUUGGGGUUGGAGAAGCCCCUGAAGCUGCUGGAGCCCAACGCUCCCCUCACCCUGCCACAGCCCCUGGCACCUCAGCUGGCAUCUCAGCUGUGUGUUCUCCAGCCCCUGCACACACACAGUCCCUGCUCCACUUGGCUCCCCCUCCUGCUCCAGCACAACACCCCACGAGAUCCUCUGGAGGAAAGGCAGAUGCAGGGAACCCUGAGGAAGAUUAUCCAUCCCUGUUCCAUUGUGGGGAAAGGUCUACAAUGCAAGGGGGAAAGUGAUCUCUCCAGCCUGAAACCUUCCCUCGCUGGGUGCUUGCUUCUGAUUGAUUUCCCUUCCAUUCCUGUGUCUCCAGGACAAGGCCAAGGAGUGCACUCUCAGCAAGGACAGUGUUCCCUGAGGCCUCUCGUGCCAGGCACUGCUCCUUCUGAGGGUGCAGCAUCCCCAGGGCACUCAGGGCUGUCCCAGAGGGGGCUGGGGAAAGGUGAAGUGUGGCAGCCUUGUCAGGGCAGGUUCAGAAGGGAAAAGCAUCCCUGAGCUGAGCUUUUGCUGCCUUUGGAGCCCACAGCAGGUCCUGCAGUGGAAAACCACGUGUGCAAAGCACAGUUCACCUGCCCUUUGUGGAUGUGGAGGAAAGCAGAAGUCACAGAGUCACAGCAUGGGGGGGCUGGGAGGGAGCUGCAGAGCUCAGCCAGUGCAACCCCCUGCAGGAGCAGCUCCCACCUAGAUCAGGUCACACAGGAACGUGUCCAGGGGGGUCCUGAAGCCCUCCAAGGAAGGAGCCUGCACACCCUCCCUGGGCAGCCUGGGCCAGUGCAGAUGUGAUGGUCGUGGUGGUGCAAGGAGACUGGCUGUGUUUUGGCAGGGGCUAGAGAAGGCAGAGUCCAGCAGCUGGGGGAACCACAGCACAAGGCUCCCAACCCAGCUGAGCCCCGUGUGAGCACCAUAAAUGUCGAUGGACUAUUGCACAGUGGCUUGAGCAGCCCGUUCUCUGCAAAGGGGCCCACAUCUGUUAAGUGCAAUGGAGAGCUGCCUGCACAGAAGGGAAAGGAUAAAGCUCCUGAUCUGAGGAUAACCAGAGGCCCCUACUCGGCGUGACACACCCUGUCCAUCCCGUCCUGCUCCCGCUCUGGUGGGACCCCGCUGGGGCUGCAGCCAAUGGCCCCGCUGCGAGGGACGGGGAGGAGCUGCUGGCAGUGGAUAAAAAGCCCCAGUGGGGUCUGCAGCUCAGCUACAGGGUCUGUGUCCUCCUGCAACCCGGAGCAAAACCGCCUGCCACCAUGGUGCACUGGACAGCUGAGGAGAAGCAGCUCAUCACCAGCAUCUGGGCCAAGGUGAACGUGGAGGAAUGUGGUGCUGAAGCCUUGGCCAGGUAGGUGCAGCCCCUGGGCAUCUGCUCAGGAGCUCUGGCGAUUGCAUUUGGGAGCGUUUACGUGUCUGUGCCACUCGUGACCCUCCGUCU